rnacentral:lncRNA from 1 species
UUAACAAUCAAACUCACGUGCCCUCGGCACAAUCUAAUGCAAAAACAGCAAUCUGGGUCCACCGUUAACCAUAACGGCAUCCGACAGUCCGGAACAGCCUAAACACUGCUGUAAAAAUAAGCUCGGCAUCCUAACACGAGCGUAAAUACAAUCUACACUAUCCUGCGUAUCCACCGCCCUCCAAACUGCGGUGAUACAAACAACUACGACUCCUAGAGCUAAAUCUGGUAGUUUUAAC